UUGAGUGAUCACAGUUUUUGAGAAUCAUGAUGAGGCAUUAAAGAAGAGGAGGAGUGUCUCAAGGGAGGUGAGCUGGAGGUGAUGCAAGCCUCAGACUCAGGGCUGGGACCCUUGGGACUCAAAAGAGAGAAAAGGUGGAGAAAAGAGAAAGCUACUAUUUUCUUCAUUUUGCCCCUGCUAACAUCCAAUGCACUUAGGAGCCUCGAUGUCUGCUCUCCAAGAGAUGUCUGAUCUGAAAGCAUGUUGUGGUCCGCUACACACAAGAGCAAAAGAAGAGCAGGAAGGAGCUCAGUGCCAAGACCAUAGCCACAGGAAGAAAACCAGCUCUUAGGGCUGCAGCUCUAAAGACAGGCCAGGUCAUUACAGGAACGUCUGCUCCCUUAGCCUUGCCAGACAGAGGAGGGUUAAGAAAGGAACUGCUGACCCUGAUAUGCAAACUGCCACGAGUGCUUCCUGCCUUUCUAUCAGCAUCAGAUGGCUAGCGAUGGAUGGCUGUAAGAUUGAUGUAAUUAACAUUUUAUUUUCAGGGCCACAGUGCUGGUUGGGUGCACCAGACAAAUCAACCAACAGAUUAAAGAGUGAUGGAGAAAGCUGUGUUUUGGGCCUCAUUUGGGAACAGAAUGGAAGAGCUGAGGGUGGAAGGGACCUCAGCAAGUCUUCUGAUCCAUGUUUCAACCUUCAUUUCCCCGAUAACCUCAAGGAGAGAGUUGCUUUUCCUGUUCUUCAAAUGAGUUCCUUGAAUUCACACUCUAUUUCUUUGAAUUUGCACAGACUGUUGAGGAACAGGCGGCAGGGUCACUCUACCUCUGCUCAGACAAGCCUGGAAAAGAAAAAUUUUACAUAGAAGACUGAGCUGGAAGAGGCCUGGGAACUUGGGAAUUCCCACUUCCACACUGCCCACUCUAGUUCUCAAGAGGCGGCAGCUAUGCUGCAGUACAGACCACUGAAUUUAGAUUCAGGAAUCUGGGUUUAUAUCUCACUCCUCCUCUUACUUGCAAGUCACUUACCACACCAGGCCUCGGUUUCCUGGACAAUAAAAUGGGGAUAACGUUGCCCCAUGUGGUUGUUGGUGGUCAUGAAAUUAUGCACACGAGCACGCCUUGUAAUCUAGGUUAGACCUGCACUAACCUAGAUUAGCUGACCAGGGUGGAAGGUGGGAGGGGCAGGCUUCAGUGUGUGACUUACCUAGAGGCCAAGGGGAGUCACCAUGGAUAGGGCAGCACUUGUAAGUCCUCUGCUCUCUCAAUGUGGCUCUGAGAAUCUCCAGGAAGAACUGGCUGGUUGAAUUCUCAACUCUACCAAGAAAGGUGUGCUGGAGACCAGGGUCAUAGACGUCUCCUUGUUGAUGUACGAAAAUCAGGAAGCCGUCUCGGGUCCUCUUUACCAGGACAUAGUGUAAUUAUUCAUCUUCUUCCCUGUCAGUUGGCACUGGAAAAUUUUGCUUCUUCUAAAAGGAACAAAUAUCUCUAGCUCUUGUUGCUCCAACAAGGUGUCUGGCUUGAUUCCUAAAGUAAAUAAAUAAAUAAACAAAUA
rnacentral:lncRNA from 1 species